rnacentral:rRNA from 1 species
ACGAGUUAUCUGAACCUUCGGGGGACGAUAACGGCGUCGAGCGGCGGACGGGUGAGUAAUGCCUAGGAAAUUGCCCUGAUGUGGGGGAUAACCAUUGGAAACGAUGGCUAAUACCGCAUGAUGCCUACGGGCCAAAGAGGGGGACCUUCGGGCCUCUCGCGUCAGGAUAUGCCUAGGUGGGAUUAGCUAGUUGGUGAGGUAAGGGCUCACCAAGGCGACGAUCCCUAGCUGGUCUGAGAGGAUGAUCAGCCACACUGGAACUGAGACACGGUCCAGACUCCUACGGGAGGCAGCAGUGGGGAAUAUUGCACAAUGGGCGCAAGCCUGAUGCAGCCAUGCCGCGUGUGUGAAGAAGGCCUUCGGGUUGUAAAGCACUUUCAGUCGUGAGGAAGGUAGUGUAGUUAAUAGCUGCAUUAUUUGACGUUAGCGACAGAAGAAGCACCGGCUAACUCCGUGCCAGCAGCCGCGGUAAUACGGAGGGUGCGAGCGUUAAUCGGAAUUACUGGGCGUAAAGCGCAUGCAGGUGGUUUGUUAAGUCAGAUGUGAAAGCCCGGGGCUCAACCUCGGAAUUGCAUUUGAAACUGGCAGACUAGAGUACUGUAGAGGGGGGUAGAAUUUCAGGUGUAGCGGUGAAAUGCGUAGAGAUCUGAAGGAAUACCGGUGGCGAAGGCGGCCCCCUGGACAGAUACUGACACUCAGAUGCGAAAGCGUGGGGAGCAAACAGGAUUAGAUACCCUGGUAGUCCACGCCGUAAACGAUGUCUACUUGGAGGUUGUGGCCUUGAGCCGUGGCUUUCGGAGCUAACGCGUUAAGUAGACCGCCUGGGGAGUACGGUCGCAAGAUUAAAACUCAAAUGAAUUGACGGGGGCCCGCACAAGCGGUGGAGCAUGUGGUUUAAUUCGAUGCAACGCGAAGAACCUUACCUACUCUUGACAUCCAGAGAACUUUCCAGAGAUGGAUUGGUGCCUUCGGGAACUCUGAGACAGGUGCUGCAUGGCUGUCGUCAGCUCGUGUUGUGAAAUGUUGGGUUAAGUCCCGCAACGAGCGCAACCCUUAUCCUUGUUUGCCAGCGAGUAAUGUCGGGAACUCCAGGGAGACUGCCGGUGAUAAACCGGAGGAAGGUGGGGACGACGUCAAGUCAUCAUGGCCCUUACGAGUAGGGCUACACACGUGCUACAAUGGCGCAUACAGAGGGCAGCCAACUUGCGAAAGUGAGCGAAUCCCAAAAAGUGCGUCGUAGUCCGGAUUGGAGUCUGCAACUCGACUCCAUGAAGUCGGAAUC